AUUCCAGCUCCAAUAGCGUAUAUUAAAGUUGUUGCAGUUAAAAAGCUCGUAGUUGGAUUUCUGGCGUGAGGUGCUUGACCCGCCGCGGUUACGCGUGUGAGUGUCGGUGUGCCUCGGCCAUCCUUCUAGAAAUUGGCUCUGCCCUUCAUUGGGUUGGGGUCAGGAUCUAGAUCUUUUACUUUGAAAAAAUUAGAGUGUUUAAAGCAAGCGUUGCGUGAAUACAUUAGCAUGGAAUAAUAACUUAGGACUUCGGUUCUAUUUUGUUGGUUUCUAGGACUGAAGUAAUGAUUGAUAGGGAUAGUUGGGGGUGCUAGUAUUCAGCGGCCAGAGGUGAAAUUCUUGGAUUCGCUGAAGACUAACUUAUGCGAAAGCAUUCACCAAGGAUGUCUUCAUCA
rnacentral:rRNA from 1 species